UUCGACUGUGUUAUUACAGAGAUAAUAAUUUCGAAUACUCAUUUCGUGUAACGAUUUCUCGGGCGCGUGAUUACAGAUUGUUCUCGGAGAUAUUACCGAAGGAUUGGGCACGGGAUUCUGUGGUACAGCGGCUCGGUCAGAGACUGAUAGAGAGCAUACUUGCAGAGGCGAGACGAGGCAACCAGAAAUUCCAACCAGGUUCCAGUAAAGGACCAAUACUUCUCACGUUUCCCAGUGAUGUAUACGCCUCGUAAUGGAGAAUCUACAGGCACGAUUUGAGGAGAAUGUAACCGAGGGAAUACAAAAUUGCCAGUCAGCCGACUCUUCAAUUUAACAGGAUGGUACACGACCUCCAUUUCGUACCGAAGUGAAGGUAGAUCUCGCACAGAUAACGUUUUCAUCAUAUAAGAAAGCCACUAGCAUCAAAGGACAGAAAAGAAAACAACAAGAGACCUGAAAAAAUUGACAAAAAACAUUCUUAUAAAAACGACGAUCUAGAAGGAAUACAAUUUGCAAUGUUUGGAAUUACUCUGCCCCGAAAACUUCUUUUGGAGUCAACAUCCACGUAUGUACCUUGACCUUCGAGACCCCAAAUCAAAGCAAUUUCCUCCUGAACCAAUCACAGCAGUGUAGAAGAAACUUAAGAGCCUUCAAAGAACAAUUACAGCGUGAAUGGAGCUAUUCAAUCUGCGAAAUUGCCAAGUUUGUCUCCUAACCCGUCGUUUACAUCUCCGAAGCGCUUCACAUUUGGUGGAAUCUCCUAUCUCCUAUAGUUAAGCAACGUGAGUUACU